rnacentral:rRNA from 1 species
UCAGUUCGGAUUGCAGGCUGCAACUCGCCUGUAUGAAGUCGGAAUUGCUAGUAAUCGCGGAUCAGCAUGCCGCGGUGAAUACGUUCCCGGGCCUUGUACACACCGCCCGUCACACCAUGAGAGCCGGGAACACCCGAAGUCCGUAGUCUAACCGCAAGGAGGACGCGGCCGAAGGUGGGUUUGGUAAUUGGGGUGAAGUCGUAACAAGGUAUC